GGAUGUGAGGGUGAUCUGGCCAUGACAUCUGUCACCCCAUUGAUUGCCAGGGUUGAUUCGGCUGAUCUGGCUGGCUAGGCAGGUGUCCCCUUCCUCCUUCACCGCUGCCUGUGUGUCCCUCCCAAAGCUGCAUGCUCUGUCAAAGAGGAUGACCAUUCCCAACAGAGGAGGGCUGGUCUUCAGUCAAGGGUAUACAAGUAGCUGAGCUCCCUUGCUAGAACCUCCAAACAAACUCUCAAGGCCCAUUGUAGGAGAACAUAGGGUAGUCAAGCUUCCAAGGCUCCAGACACAUUCAAAUGGGGCGCUACAUGUGGCAGUCUGCCUUCA
ensembl:misc_RNA 7SK 7SK RNA